rnacentral:rRNA from 1 species
UGGGGGAAUAUUGGGCAAUGGAGGCAACUCUGACCCAGCAACGCCGCGUGAAUGAAGAAGGUCUUCGGAUUGUAAAGUUCUUUAGUGAGGGACGAAUAAAUGACGGUACCUCGAGAAUAAGCCACGACUAACUACGUGCCAGCAGUCGCGGUAAUACGUAGGUGGCAAGCGUUGUCCGGAAUGACUGGGCGUAAAGGGAGAGUAGGCGGUGCAACAAGUUAGGAGUGAAAUCCCGAGGCUUAACCUCGGAACUGCUUUUAAAACUGUUGUGCUUGAGUGAUGGAGAGGAAAGCGGAAUUCCUAGUGUAGCGGUGAAAUGCGUAGAUAUUAGGAGGAACGCCAGUGGCGAAGGCGACUUACUGGACUGUAACUGACGUUGGGGCACGAAAGUGUGGGGAGCAAACAGGAUUAGAUACCCUGGUAGU